GGAGGGUGGGCUGGGCAGGGCAAGAGCAGCACAUUUGCAUGCAGGGCCCCUCUCUCUCCUCUGAGGAUGAAGGGGGGAUAAGAGACACCUGCAGCGUGUCUGCCUCAGCAGAGCUCUGGGGUGUCUGCACCAUGGCCUGGACCCCACUCCUCCUCCUCAGCCUCCUCCUUCACUGCACAGGGUCCCUCUCCCAGCCUGUGCUGACUCAGCCGCCCUCUGCAUCUGCCUCCUUGGGAGCCUCGGUCAAGCUCACCUGCACUCUGGACAGUGCACACAGCAGCUAUUACAUGUAUUGGCACCAGCAGCAGCCGGGGAAGGCCCCUCGGUACCUGAUGUGGAUUAGCAGUGCUGGGAGCAGCAGCAAGGGGGACGGGAUCCCUGACCGCUUCUCUGGCUCCGGCUCUGGGGCUGACCGCUACUUGACCAUCUCCAACCUCCAGUCUGAGGACGAGGCUGAUUAUUUCUGUGGAAGUGGUGACAGCAGUGGUUUACACAGUGACACAGGCAGAUGAGGAAGUGGGACAAAAACCUCAGCCUGCACUUGAGCUUUCUCUAUGACAAUUUUCAAAUUUCAAAAUAUGCUCCAAUGCACAAAUUCUACUUGGCAGCACCUUUGGUGUUUAAAAUAUUUCUAUUCUCAGUUUCUCUCCAAAUGUUUCUGAAGUCUCAGGAAAACCAAAAGCAAAACCCAAAGCCCCCUGAUGACACUGAAAUGUUGCCUGUUUAUCCGAAUGUGUUUGAACCACUGCCUGUGGGGCUGGCCUUGUACAGGAUGUGAAAAAUGAGCCUCUCCUGGGGGGGGGGACAGCUAUGGGGCUGAGGAAGCAAACACCUUGUGGGAGGUGAGUGGGGAUAGGGAGGCUCCACCUCUGCUUGGAAAUGCUAAGCCUGCUCCUGGGGAGUUGGGGGAA